rnacentral:rRNA from 1 species
GUAGGGAAUCUUCCACAAUGGGCGAAAGCCUGAUGGAGCAACGCCGCGUGUGUGAUGAAGGGUUUCGGCUACGUAAAACACUGUUGUAAGAGAAGAAUGACAUUGAGAGUAACUGUUCAAUGUGUGACGGUAUCUUACCAGAAAGGAACGGCUAAAUACGUGCCAC